GGAGAGGUGGCUGAGUGGUCGAAAGCGGCUUCCUGCUAAGAAGUUGCGCUGGGUUAACUGGCGCCAUGGGUUCGAAUCCCAUCCUUUCCACCA
rnacentral:tRNA from 1 species